UCUACAUCCAUACCACCCAACACAGCAGCUAUGAGCUAAAAAACAGCACUAAAAGCUGAAUAAUCAAGACUGGUGAAAUGAGAUCAUACUACCCUGCAACUUUGUUUUUCCAUUUAAUACUACAUUGCAGUGAAAUACCAUCUUUUUAAAAAUUCAUUAAGUA